AGAAACUUAGGAUAGUACAAACCGAAGGCCUUCAAAGCCUUAAACAAGAGUUAAACCCUCUUAGUUUCUG
rnacentral:tRNA from 1 species